UCUUGAAAAGUAAAAAUGUAACAAGGUUUCCGUAGGUGAACCUGCGGAAGGUUCAUUAUGGAUGAUUGGAAAUGUCAAUUUAACGUGAAGUCCGAACUAUCACUUUCUAACCCUGUGCAUUUGUUUUGGCUAGUAGGAUAUCUCGGUAUCCGAACACCUUUUCAUUUACAAACAUUAAGUCUAUGAAUGUUUAAAUUGUAUAACAAAAUAAAACUUUCAACAACGGAUCUCUUGGCUCUCGCAUCGAUGAAGAACGCAGUGAAAUGUGAUAAGUAAUGUGAAUUGCAGAAUUCAGUGAAUCAUCGAAUCUUCGAACGCAUCUUGCACUGUCUGGUAUUCCGGAGAGUAUGCCUGUUUGAGAGUCAUGAAUUCUUCAACCCUCCCUUUUCUUAGUGAAUUGAGAGGUGUUUGGAUUCUGAGAGUUGCUCCUAAUCCGAGCUCAUUUGUAAUGCAUUAGCAUCCAUAUUUGAAUUUCGGAUUGACUUGGGGUAAUAGACCUAUUCUCCGAGGAAUCUGACUUACGGCCUUGUAAAGGGUGUGAACUAGGAAGCUACUCCUCUAGAGGACCCUACUUUGAGAUGUGACCUCGGAUCCGGCAGGCUACCAAGUCCC
rnacentral:rRNA from 1 species